GGGCUGGACCUCUCGGGGUUACAGCCUUGCUGAAUUAUUCACCCUUGUCUUUUGCGUACUUCUUGUUUCCUUGGUGGGUUCGCCCACCACUAGGACAAACAUAAACCUUUUGUAAUUGCAAUCAGCGUCAGUAACAAAUUAAUAAUUACAACUUUCAACAACGGAUCUCUUGGUUCUGGCAUCGAUGAAGAACGCAGCGAAAUGCGAUAAGUAGUGUGAAUUGCAGAAUUCAGUGAAUCAUCGAAUCUUUGAACGCACAUUGCGCCCUUUGGUAUUCCAAAGGGCAUGCCUGUUCGAGCGUCAUUUGUACCCUCAAGCUUUGCUUGGUGUUGGGCGUCUUGUCUCUAGCUUUGCUGGAGACUCGCCUUAAAGUAAUUGGCAGCCGGCCUACUGGUUUCGGAGCGCAGCACAAGUCGCACUCUCUAUCAGCAAAGGUCUAGCAUCCAUUAAGCCUUUUUUUCAACUUUUGACCUCGGAUCAGGUAGGGAUACCCGCUGAACUUAAGCAUAUCAAUAAG
rnacentral:misc_RNA from 1 species